rnacentral:sRNA from 1 species
UUACUAUUAGGGCUUUUGCAGCCGCAUC